rnacentral:rRNA from 1 species
UACGGGGGGGGGCAAGCGUUGUUCGGAAUUACUGGGCGUAAAGGGCGCGUAGGUGGCCAACUAAGUCAGACGUGAAAUCCCUCGGCUUAACCGGGGAACUGCGUCUGAUACUGGAUGGCUUGAAUUCGGGAGAGGGAUGCAGAAUUCCAGGUGUAGCGGUGAAAUGCGUAGAUAUCUGGAGGAAUACCGGUGGCGAAGGCGGCAUCCUGGACCGACAUUGACGCUGAUGAGCGAAAGCUAGGGGAGCAAACGGG